rnacentral:rRNA from 1 species
CCAGCAGCCGCGGUAAAACGUAGGAGCCAAGCGUUAUCCGAAUUCACUGGGCGUAAAGCGUGUGCAGGCGGCACGGUAAGUUGGAUGUGAAAUCUCCCGGCUCAACUGGGAGAGGCCGUUCAAUACUGUCGGGCUCGAGGGCAACAGAGGGAGGUGGAAUUCCCGGUGUAGUGGUGAAAUGCGUAGAUAUCGGGAGGAACACCAGUGGCGAAGGCGGCCUCCUGGGUUGCACCUGACGCUCAGACACGACAGCUAGGGGAGCGAACGGGAUUAGAAACCCCGGUAGUCCUAGCCGUAAACGAUGUAGACUUGGUGUCGGCGGGGUAAAAGCCGUCGGUGCCGAAGCCAACGCGAUAAGUCUACCGCCUGGGGACUACGGCCGCAAGGUUAAAACUUAAAGGAAUUGGCGGGGGA